CCCUCUUAAGUUAAUUAUACAAGCAUUGGAAUUGAAAAUUCCUUUAUACAUACAAAACCAUAAACUUUUAUAAAAAGCACACUAUCAUGUCUCUCUUCUAUAUUUCUUAUUCACACAAGGAAGUAUCUAUACAAAAAAAAAUCUAGGAAAAAUAAUUAUGAGCAAUGGCAAAAGGGUACAAAAAAAGAAAAACAGUAAUGCUGUAAUGACCAUAUUUAUACACUAACAAGAUUUUAAUCUCUAACAGAGUAAUUAUACAAACACAAAAAUUGAAAAGUACACCUUCCUACACGUAUAGAAAUUUACAAAAUCAUCUUCUUAUGCUAAAAUGAAGUACAGCAUCACAGUUUAUUUCUUCUCCUUUUUACAUACAAAUUAAGAAAGUAUCUCUAAAAAUGAAAAGACAAAAGAAAAGAAAAGGUCUAUAUGAUGUAUUGAGGAGAUCAAAGCCUAUGUUUGAUUGUAGUUUUCAAAAUCAAUUUUGCAAAUUAAUUUUCAGAAAUUGUUUUUUUUAAAAUGUUCAUCAUUUUCAUAUCUCAUUCAUUUUCAACGUAAAUAGUUUUUGAGAAUUUAAAAAUUCAUUUUAACGUUUUCUGAAAAAUAAUUUUGUUCGCAUAAAAUUCUAAAAAAAACAAGUUUCAAAAACCGUAAACCAAAAAGAAAAAUCUGAUUUUGAAAAUAGCAACCAAACAGUUCUCUACCUUA
rnacentral:lncRNA from 1 species